UACAGAGGUCCCAAGCGUUGUUCGGAUUCACUGGGCGUAAAGGGUGCGUAGGUGGUUGGGCAAGUCUGAUGUGAAAUCUCCGGGCUUAACCCGGAAAUGGCAUUGGAAACUGCCUGGCUAGAGUGUUGGAGGGGGGACUGGAAUUCUCGGUGUAGCAGUGAAAUGCGUAGAUAUCGAGAGGAACACCAGUAGCGAAGGCGCAUCUGCCGUCGGAAUUGACGCUGAGGCGCGAAAGCGUGGGGAGCAAACAGG
rnacentral:rRNA from 1 species